GCCAAUAGAACCUUCCUUUUUUUUUUUUUUUCCUUUAUUUUUUUUACCCCCCACUUCUUACUAGAGAAAUUCGUGUUGCCUCAGCAAUUAAGGAGAAGAGCCAGCAUCUAGGGUUCCAGGCUGUGAGGGGAAGUAGCAACUUGUACCAGCAGCCACAGUCUUCAGCUGUUCUUGCAGGAGAUGGAGGGAGGCUUCAUUGAGUCUUCACAAAGGGAAGAAUUUUCAAAUUAAUAAUUAGGUGAGUUUAAAAGAAGCAACUGCAGCAAGAUUUUGCUGUGAAUUGCCUGG
rnacentral:lncRNA from 1 species